rnacentral:rRNA from 1 species
GAUGAACGCUGGCGGCGUGCCUAAUACAUGCAAGUCGAGCGAACAGACGAGGAGCUUGCUCCUUUGACGUUAGCGGCGGACGGGUGAGUAACACGUGGGUAACCUACCUAUAAGACUGGGAUAACUUCGGGAAACCGGAGCUAAUACCGGAUAAUAUUUCGAACCGCAUGGUUCGAUAGUGAAAGAUGGCUCUGCUAUCACUUAUAGAUGGACCUGCGCCGUAUUAGCUAGUUGGUAAGGUAACGGCUUACCAAGGCAACGAUACGUAGCCGACCUGAGAGGGUGAUCGGACACACUGGAACUGAGACACGGUCCAGACUCCUACGGGAGGCAGCAGUAGGGAAUCUUCCGCAAGGGGCGAAAGCCUGACGGAGCAACGCCGCGUGAGUGAUGAAGGUCUUCGGAUCGUAAAACUCUGUUAUUAGGGAAGAACAAACGUGUAAGUAACUGUGCACGUCUUGACGGUACCUAAUCAGAAAGCCACGGCUAACUACGUG